rnacentral:rRNA from 1 species
AUUGAACGCUGGCGGAAUGCUCUACACAUGCAAGUCGAACGGCAGCACGGACUUCGGUCUGGUGGCGAGUGGCGAACGGGUGAGUAAUAUAUCGGAACGUGCCCAGUCGUGGGGGAUAACGUAGUGAAAAUUACGCUAAUACCGCAUACGAUCUAUGGAUUAAAGCGGGGGAUCGCAAGACCUCGCGCGAUUGGAGCGGCCGAUAUCAGAUUAGGUAGUUGGUGAGGUAAAGGCUCACCAAGCCGACGAUCUGUAGCUGGUCUGAGAGGACGACCAGCCACACUGGAACUGAGACACGGUCCAGACUCCUACGGGAGGCAGCAGUGGGGAAUUUUGGACAAUGGACGCAAGUCUGAUCCAGCCAUUCCGCGUGCAGGACGAAGGCCUUCGGGUUGUAAACUGCUUUUGUACAGAACGAAAAGGUCUCUAUUACUACUAGGGGCUCAUGACGGUACUGUAAGAAUAAGCACCGGCUAACUACGUGCCAGCAGCCGCGGUAA